AUUGAACGCUGGCGGCAGGCCUAACACAUGCAAGUCGAGCGGAUGAAGGGAGCUUGCUCCUGGAUUCAGCGGCGGACGGGUGAGUAAUGCCUAGGAAUCUGCCUGGUAGUGGUGGAUAACGUCCGGAAACGGGCGCUAAUACCGCCUACGUCCUGAGGGAGAAAGUGGGGGAUCUUCGGACCUCACGCUAUCAGAUGAGCCUAGGUCGGAUUAGCUAGUUGGUGGGGUAAAGGCCUACCAAGGCGACGAUCCGUAACUGGUCUGAGAGGAUGAUCAGUCACCCUAGAGCUGAGACAGGGACCAGGCUCCUAAGGGAGGCAGCAGAGGGGAAUGUUGGGCAAUAGGCGAAAGCAUGGUCCAGCGAUGCCGAGUGUGUGGAGGAGAUGUUCGGAGUGUAAAGCACUUUAAGGUGGGAGGAACGGCAGUAAGUUAAUACCUUGCUGGAGUGACGUUACCAACAGAAUAAGCACCGGCUAACUUCGUG
rnacentral:rRNA from 1 species